CGGGACUAUUUGUCAACCCAUCACCUCACUUCAGCCAUGCCGUGACAGAGCCUCAGGACCCUUCUAGGCAACUACUUCUGUCCAGCGCCAUCUCUGAUAGAAAUCAUCUACUAUCCUACCUGCCUCUGCUUUCCCCCACAAGGGAAAAUUGUCAGCAAACACUCUCCAAGGCUUUUCCUGAAUAUUUGGUGAACUUGGAAUCUUAGAAUGGUAUACCAGACACAACACCUGACUUACCAGAAAAGUCCACCAGCCCCUGAAAUAGAGCCUAACAACAAUUCCAGUAACUGGCUGUUCUGCUCACGGAACAAUGGGACCGGAAGGAUGUAAUGCUUUUUUCCUGGCUUCGGUUUCUGACAGUGUGAGCUUUAAUACUUUGCUUUAGUGACAGAAGAGCCCCCCAGAGCUCUCGACGAUGAUGAAGAGGGAUGGUGUCUGGCAGACUUCAGAGCUUCUAAGCGCCUCUGAAACUUUGAUUCUCCAGAAAUUGCCACUCUCAGAAACAUUGUACGAUGACUUAAAAAUGUCUACCGUCCCCAAAGCCAAAUAAAACUUGACUUUAGUAGGGACAUCUAAGUAAAAAUAACGCUUUAAUACUUGCCUUGGUGUUGUUCUGGUGAGUCUUCCAUUGCAUUCAGCAUCUCAGUGAUUGCUGUGCUGACACUUUGAUAAAUGGAGAGACUGAAAUUACAAAACAGCUGGAAGAAGCUGGGAAUGUCCCAGUUCCGCACAAGAUCUGCCUCUUUUGUUGGCUCUUUGAAAAAAGAUGGAAAAAAGUAAGGCUCGAUUACAUCUGUAUCUGACAUGAAAUAUGACUGAAAAGCCCGGUCAAAUUCCUGCUGCAUCUGUCUGAAGACGUUAACACUCCUGUUAAAGAGAAAUCUCACGUCCACGGUCAGUUGGCUGAAC